GAAGCAAAGUCAGGAGUGAGGACGAGAAACAAGUGAUGGAAGUUGAAUGAAAGUGGAGGUAAAGAGAAGACGUUUGAAAAUAUGUUGGAACUCCGUGGGGCCUCUGCAGUUUUGCCUGGCUAGGUUAGUCUCUCUCUGCGUUCCAAGGUUGCCGUUUCCUUGGAGACCAGGCGCUGCCAGCGGAAAGUGCGUGUAGUCUCCCUGGGAUCCGUUCUUAGACAAGAGGUGGCAGAAGCCUCAGCGGUAUCUGGAGACAGUCUAUACCCAGAGGACCUGGAUUCUUUUCCCCAAUGGCACAGAAACAAACCUCGAGACCUCAAUUCUCAGGGAACAAGUUUCAAGUACCUGUGAGAUUGGGACCAGAGAAGAACUUGAAGCCAUCUACCCUGCCUCCCCUCCGACAAGUCAGAGGCCGCAACAAAAGCAAGACGAAGAACCUGAGUAAAAUCCAGCCAGUACAGUCCCAGGUCUCUGUAGAGAUGGCAAACUCAACAAAGAUUUCAGGAGGACUUCGAAGAAGGGACCAAACGCACCACGGGAAAGUGCAGGCCAAGGUCCGGCUGAUGAGGUCGAUGCUUCGAAACCAGCGGACCUCGCUCCAGGAGCUCUACAGCCACGAAGGCUACCUCACCAAGCUCAACAAGGAGCUGACCAAAGCCAUCCUGGACACUGAGGAGAGCGUGGCCUUGAGCGUGCGUGAAAUGCUACAGCAGCAGAGCAUCCUCGGGAAUAUCAUCGACAUCUUGGAAUAUUCAAACAAGAAGCGGGUGCAGCAGCUGAGGUCUGAGCUCCAGGAGUGGAAAGAGAAGGAGGAGAGCAAGACAAACAGCCUUCAGAGGGAGGUGGAUCAGCUGAACUCCGAGAUCCAGAAGGCCAGCGAGGAGGUGAAUUUCCUGAGCACCUACAUGGAUCACGAGUAUCCCGUCAGGUUGGUUCAGAUCUCCAGCCACAUACGCCAGGUGCAGCAGGCAAAGGACAACCAGCAGGACGAGCUGGACAACCUUAGGGAGAUGCGGGAAACCAUCCUGGCACUUUUUUCCAACCUAAUUCAAGAGAAGAAGAAGAAAAUCCUGAAGUGUCUGGUCGUGAAUACCCAGAAACCCCAUGAGAACAUACUGCUGCUGAAGACCCGGGACGGCCGGCGACUGCAGAGGUGCAUGGUCUUGUUCAGAGAGGUGAGGACAGCAGGAAGGUCACGGCCUCUGGGACUGAGCAGCUUAUUGAACAGAUGAAAGAAGAGAUUCCCAUCCUACUCUCAGAGGUGGAGCAGAUGUGUGCAGAGCUCUGGAACCCGAGAGAGGCCGUCUAUAAGGAUGUUCUGCUUCAGAGACCCAAGUGCACCCCAGACAUGGCUGUUGAGCUCAACAUUCCUGUGCAGGAGUCAUUCCCCUUCUAGACGGCAGUGUUGCCCCCUCUUCUCCCUCCUCUCUUCCCAGCACUGGGGGUUUCAGCUGGUGACUUACAAGAUGGUACCUCUGUUACAAAUCUGACCCACAGCCCUCUCUUCUACCCCUCUCCCUUGCUGCUUGGACUAGGCAGGAGUUCCCAGUCCAGCCUGCUUGUUCCUUGGUGCCAAUAAAGCUGUGUUUGUAUUU